UACGAAGGGGGCUAGCGUUGCUCGGAAUUACUGGGCGUAAAGGGAGCGUAGGCGGAUGUUUAAGUCGGGGGUGAAAGCCCGGGGCUCAACCCCGGAACUGCCUUCGAUACUGGGCAUCUAGAGUACGGGAGAGGUGUGUGGAACUCCGAGUGUAGAGGUGAAAUUCGUAGAUAUUCGGAAGAACACCAGUGGCGAAGGCGACACACUGGCCCGUUACUGACGCUGAGGCUCGAAAGCGUGGGGAGCAAACAGG
rnacentral:rRNA from 1 species